GUAAAGUGUUAUGAGAAUGUUUUAUACAGUAAAGCAAUGCACAGAUAUAUAAACGAAUAGUCGGUGAUUAAAAGAUACAAUUUAUACGACAUUUUUAUUACAAAAAAAAAAAAACAAGUAAAGGACAAUUGUUUAAGUAAAAGGCAUGCAUUCCAAAAAAAUGGGAUGGCUUAAGAUAUAUUAGUUAAUAAAGUCUGUGCUUUCUCUAUCUUUUCUUAACACCAGCUUAUUUCAGAGGGAGGAUAGAGGGGUUUCCUCCUGAGACCGGAGAGGAACAGAUUGUGGAAUUACUAUUGGGCUACAGGAGUACCGGACCUGCAGGCUUCUGGCACAUGAAGAAUCACUGGAGCAUAUGUCGCCAGCAUGAUUCAUUCAUUUACAUUUAUAGAGUGGAAGUGGGCCAGGUAGCACACCGUGGUGACUGUCAACAGCACCUCCAUCUUCACACACUUCACAUACACCCGUCCCACCAUCCGACCAUAUGUCCCGAGAAACACAAUUUCUAAUGGACAAGGACAGCUGUAUCAGGUAUUUGGUUUCGCUAAUCAAGUGAGACCUUUCACUGAAUGCUGCUUACUCUCAGUUAGUCCUAGUGAGCAGCAUAGCCAUCCUUCCCCUGAGCAUUACAUCAUUCUGAGGGACAACCGAGCCAAUCAACAGCCUGGCAGGAUUACGCAGCAUAUGGGCAUGUCCUGACUGUGAGGGAGAGCUAAACAGAGCAACUGUCAAUGGUGAAAUGGUGUGUGGGUGUCCGACACAGUAAUGGGUCAAUCACUCCGAAAAUAAGACUUUUUCUUCUGACUGAGCACGGAGGAGCUCUGUUCUCACCUAAUGUUGUGAAGGUAAUGAUACACUCUGCAUUCAAUGAUGGUACUGGGUUACAUAAUGAUACAAUAAUGUUAAUGACUAUUCAGAAGCUCAAAGAAACCAGGUUGAAUAGAGAAACACGUCUUCAGUAAACUUAAAAAUACAGCGCUGAAUGGAGACCUUAUUUCAAAGAAAGGAUUGUUAUAUCAUAACAGCACAAUUCUUUGAAGAAAAUAAGACGGUGACACAAAAGGUGACUGUUGUUGUAAAGUAAUCUUCCACCGAUCGAGAUGUAGAAGCUGAAAUUAACCAAUCAGACAAACUUUUAAUAAUACAAGCUUCCAGAACUGACGUUAUGGGUGUUAUAUUUUUUAUCUCGCUCCAUUGGCACGAUUUUGUGAUUUAUAUAACAUUUGUAGCACUUAUGUUCUCUGUGAUUCAUCCGUGAGUAUUGCUGUCCUCACAGAACGUUAUUUGGGGGCUGGUGUUUCACAUGUUCAGAACAGCGUGUGUAUUAUGGUUAUUUAUUUUUUUCUUUUUCUUUGGAGCUGACAGGCAGAGAUAGAGCAUGAAUCAUGUCGGCCUACUCUCAGACAGCAGUGAUAAUAUCGGCGUGCUGAUGCAAAGUGACCGGCGAGCACAUAGCACUUUCACACCAUCAGUCAUGUUCCCGUAGCAACAUGAUAACGCUGGAAUAACAUUGAACAAACAAUGUUGGAACUGUGUGUUGGUGUGGGAGGGCAGGGUCUAAAAAAAGUCCACACAAGAGAGCUGUUGAUUAUGCGUGGAAAUGUGAGGGAAAUUAGUCAAGUCGUGUAAUGACUAUACUUCUUAUAUAUUGAUAAUUUUUUUUGUAAUGUGCCAUUGCUUCGGUUUCCAGUGGCCAGCUGUUUCACUUAUAAUGUACACAAAUGGUACCUUGGUUUUACCAUGGUUGUUUGGGCAUAGUACAGAAAUCUUUACAGUAUAUACUGUAUAUGUAACUAUGUAACUG